rfam:Triticum aestivum genome assembly, contig: Triticum_aestivum_CS42_TGACv1_scaffold_019493_1AS
CAAGUACUCCCUCCGUCCGGAAUUACUUGUCAUCAAAAUGUAUGUGUCUAGAACUAAAAUACAUCUAGAUACAUCCAUUUCAAUGACAAGUAUUUUUGGACGGAGGGAGUACAAG